CUAUAUAACAAAAAAUUAAAUAUAAAUGAUACUUUUUAAUCUUAUCUUUAUAGAUCUCGAUGAAAUGGCUUCUUGAUUGAAUUCUCGUUUGCCUGCCUCUCGUUCUUCGGUCAACUCGAUUUGAUCGGCUGUUAUCAGUAAAACAUUAAACGGACAAAGAACAGAACAUGGCUACAGACUAUAGAUCAGAUCGUUCUCGAUGAUCAGGGUACAUGGAGAUUCCUCGGAUAUAUCUGCGUCGCUGAAAAAGGGCGUCAUGCAUGGCUCGCACUAGGGUGUCAUCUGCACCCUCUAUAACAUGAGCAGUUCUGUAGAUGAUCUUCACGGUCAAUAUAACGGAUGUCGUAAAAUCAAUUAGUGGCGAAUUGUGCCGCAGCCCGGAUCGUAUGCAUUGUAUAUGCAGCUCAUAAAAUUUCUUUUUUUUUUUUGUGAUCUUUUUGAAUUACUCUAUGUUCCUCGCAUCGGUUCCAAUCGAUAAUCAUUUCUUAUCAAAGUACAAUUUUAAAAUUUAUCUACAAUAUUAUACUUUGUUAAAUUUCUCAUUUGCAAUAGAAAUAUAAUAUUGGUAUGUUAUAGAUUAUAUUUCUGUAAGUCGCUUUUAUAUCAUUCCGACAAUAGCUUAGUUAAUAUUGACUUUUGAAUGGUCCAAUCUUAGGAAAAGCCUUUUAGCGUGUUUCAGCAUGCAGUAAAUAUUAUUAGGAAACCAUCCCCGCAUAGUAAGACUCCAACGACAUCCUGACAAAUCUUUGGGGUCGUAACCGAUUGAAAGAAUUUUCCGUGACGACUCGUUCAUUGUGCGUGUUUACUAGCUAAGCGAUUUUCUCGUUGUAGAAAGGUCGAAAUAUCUCUCAGAAAUACAAUAGAAAACUUGUAACAAAAAUCAUAGAAGCAAACAUUUUAAAGGGAAAUUUAUGUUAUUCACGGAUAACAACGAUUCAGAUCUCAGUAAAUUGUACAAGUUUUUAUCAUUCCAGAGACGUAUAUCUAUGAAAAAGAGAAAUAGUCCACAUAAAACUUUAACGUCCUUUGUGCGAACGUCACCCGUUACAACGCAACGUUGCUUUGGCUAAGAGCCGGUUAUCUUGAUACUAUUUCACUAAUCUGUGACGGUUAAUCCAAAACAUGGGAGGAAGAAACCGAAGGGAAGACGCACAUAUGAAAUUCAUCCUUCUUCAGCAAAGUUCGAGGAGUGAAAGAAAAGGCUCUCCUUGUGGCUACAACUCACAACUUACAAUUCGGUGGCUACGAAACGGCUACACCCUUUCAUGAACGCGCGGUUCAACCACUCGUGACCCGACCAACUUCGCCCCAAGUGGAGGAAAGGAGGCAAGUGAAUAGAAAAUGAAAGAGAAGCAUUUUGGUGCAGUAUUAUACGGCACAGAGGGAAUUCGAUUAUGGCCAGUAUCCACAAAUUGCCUUCUAGUUAGCGGGAGUAUCUUGUGGUCGAACUAUCGCGAGAUAAUUACACUUCAACCGCUAUAAUGGCAAGUUAGUUAUAGAGCGGUGGAUCUUGGCUCGGGAAUUGCGAGCUGGCUGAUUGAGCAUAUCCACUGAAAAGGAACCGUUUUCUUCUUGCGAAGAACAAACUUUGGUCGAAUGAAUGCUCGAGAAAAUCAGUCAUGUCAAUCAUCAAUGUGAAAUUGAUUAUCUUUUCAUCUUUUAUUUAUUUUUCUUCGAAUUCUUUUCCAAAUUAUCUUAAAAAUUGAAAUGAUUCUGUUCUUUAAUUUAACUCUUGCGACUACGAUGAAGUGAGAUGAAGAUCGAAGAUUAAUGAAACGUUAA
rnacentral:lncRNA from 1 species